rnacentral:rRNA from 1 species
CGUGGGUAACCUGCCCAAGAGAUCGGGAUAACACCUGGAAACAGAUGCUAAUACCGGAUAANAACAGAUGAUGCCUAUCAACUGUUUAAAAGAUGGUUCUGCUAUCACUCUUGGAUGGACCUGCGGUGCAUUAGCUAGUUGGUAGGGUAACGGCCUACCAAGGCGAUGAUGCAUAGCCGAGUUGAGAGACUGAUCGGCCACAUUGGGACUGAGACACGGCCCAAACUCCUACGGGAGGCAGCAGGC